GCUGGUGUGGCUCAGUCGGCAGAGCAGCUGAUUCGUAAUCAGCAGGUCGCCGGUUCAAGUCCGGCCACCAGCUCCA
rnacentral:tRNA from 1 species